UGAGGAAUAUUGGUCAAUGGACGCAAGUCUGAACCAGCCAUGCCGCGUGCAGGAAGACGGCUCUACGAGUUGUAAACUGCUUUUACACGGGAAUAAUUGCAGAUACGUGUAUCUGUUUGAAUGUACCGUAUGAAUAAGCACCGGCUAACUCCGUGCCAGCAGCCGCGGUAAUACGGAGGGUGCAAGCGUUAUCCGGAUUUAUUGGGUUUAAAGGGUGCGUAGGCGGAAAUAUAAGUCAGUGGUGAAAUCUUGCAGCUUAACUGUAAAAUUGCCAUUGAUACUGUGUUUCUUGAGUACAGUUGAGGUAGGCGGAAUGUGUAAUGUAGCGGUGAAAUGCUUAGAUAUUACACAGAACACCGAUUGCGUAGGCAGCUUACUAAACUGUAACUGACGCUGAGGCACGAAAGCGUGGGGAGCGAACA
rnacentral:rRNA from 1 species